AGUGAACGCUGGCGGCGUGCCUAAUACAUGCAAGUCGAACGGAGUGGCGCACAGGGGAGUAAUAUAUAGCUAAUCUGCCCCUUUCUGGAGGACAACCGUUCGGAAUGCCUGCUAAUACUCCCUAUCGAGUGAUGAGACUAUAUCGUAUCAUCUAGUCGGUGGGGUAACGGCCUACAGAGGCUAUGACGCGUAACUGGUCUGAGAGGAUGAGCACGCACCUUGUAACGGAGACACUGGCGAAACUUCUACGGGAAUCAGCAGUAGGGUAUAGUGCGCAAUGGGGGAAUCUCUGAAGCAGCAUCGCCUCGUGGAGUAUGAUACGUGUCGGAGAGUAAACUCCUUUUGUUAGCGAAGCGUUACCUAACGAAUAAGCACCGGCUAACUCCGUGCCAGCAGCCGCGGUAAUUC
rnacentral:rRNA from 1 species